rnacentral:rRNA from 1 species
AGUGAACGCUGGCGGUAGGCCUAACACAUGCAAGUCGAACGGCAGCACAGUAAGGGCUUGCUCUUACGGGUGGCGAGUGGCGGACGGGUGAGGAAUACAUCGGAAUCUACUUUUUCGUGGGGGAUAACGUAGGGAAACUUACGCUAAUACCGCAUACGACCUACGGGUGAAAGCAGGGGAUCUUCGGACCUUGCGCGAUUGAAUGAGCCGAUGUCGGAUUAGCUAGUUGGCGGGGUAAAGGCCCACCAAGGCGACGAUCCGUAGCUGGUCUGAGAGGAUGAUCAGCCACACUGGAGCUGAGACACGGUCCAGACUCCUACGGGAGGCAGCAGUGGGGAAUAUUGGACAAUGGGCGCAAGCCUGAUCCAGCCAUACCGCGUGGGUGAAGAAGGCCUUCGGGUUGUAAAGCCCUUUUGUUGGGAAAGAAAGGCAGCAGGUUAAUACCCCGCUGUUCUGACGGUACCCAAAGAAUAAGCACCGGCUAACUUCGUG